GCCUGCUUAGCAUAGUGGCUAAUGCGUUGCACUUGUAUAACCUUGUCCCAACUGGCUUGCCAAGCGGGUACAUUGUCUCGAUAUGCAAAGAUCACAGGUUCGAUUCCUGUAGUAGGCA